GUUAUAUGGUCAAGUGAAGAAGCGCAUACGGUGGAUGCCUUGGCAGUCAGAGGCGAUGAAAGACGUGGUAGCCUGCGAUAAGCUUCGGGGAGUCGGCAAACAGACUUUGAUCCGGAGAUCUCUGAAUGGGGGAACCCAACCAGCACAAGCUGGUUAUCUUGCACUGAAUACAUAGGUGCAAGAGGCGAACCAGGGGAACUGAAACAUCUAAGUACCCUGAGGAAAAGAAAUCAACCGAGAUUCCCUUAGUAGUGGCGAGCGAACGGGGACUAGCCCUUAAGUGGCUUUGAGAUUAGCGGAACGCUCUGGAAAGUGCGGCCAUAGUGGGUGAUAGCCCUGUACGCGAAAAUCUCUUGGCCAUGAAAUCGAGUAGGACGGAGCACGAGAAACUUUGUCUGAAUAUGGGGGGACCAUCCUCCAAGGCUAAAUACUACUGACUGACCGAUAGUGAACCAGUACCGUGAGGGAAAGGCGAAAAGAACCCCGGAGAGGGGAGUGAAAUAGAUCCUGAAACCGUAUGCGUACAAGCAGUGGGAGCAGACUUCGUUCUGUGACUGCGUACCUUUUGUAUAAUGGGUCAGCGACUUAUUUUCAGUGGCGAGCUUAACCGAAUAGGGGAGGCGUAGCGAAAGCGAGUCUUAAUAGGGCGUCUAGUCGCUGGGAAU
rnacentral:rRNA from 1 species